CGCCCACCGCCGGCACGCCCUGCCGAGCGACGCGGCCUUGCGGCGCGCGCGCUCCGUGCCGGUGCCCAGCAGCUCCCAGAUGGCCCACUCCACGCCCUGGACCGCCACCACCUGCGACGCAGCGGCGGCGCCGGCGCGCCUGCACAGCAGCACCAGCGCGGCCGCCGCGCACUCCCGCGACCACUCCGUGCCGCGCCGCAUCUCGUUCACCAGCCGCGCCACGGCGCCGUCCAGCGCGACGAUCGCCUCCGCGCCGCCGCGCUUCGCCAGCGACGCCAGCACCGCCGCGGCGGCCUCGGCCUCGGCCUCGCCGACCGCGGCCAGCGCCGCCUCCGCGGCGCCGGCCUCGACGAUCCUCGGCACGUUCUCCCGCUCGGCGGACAGGCACAGGAGCGCCGCGAGCGCGUCCUUCUUGGUGCUGGAGGGGCCCGUGCGCGCGAGCCGCACGACGCUCUCGACGACGCGUGGGUUCCGCCCGAGCCGGCGGCGGUACGCGUGGACGGCCGCCAGGCUGAGCACGGUGGCCGCGGCGUUCUCCUUGGCGCGCCACGUGGCGCCCGUGCCCAUGACGUGGCAGAGCGCGUCCACGGCGCCCUCCGCGUGCAUGAUGCGCUUCUUGUUGGCCUCCAGGAUGGAGAGGUUGAGCAGCGCCGUCACGGCGUUGAGCUGGAGAGCCGAGUCCUCGGACAGGAGCAGCGGCACGAGGAGCCCCGCGGCGCCGGCCUCCCCGAUGAACGCGCGGUUGUCGGACCCGGACUUGGCCAGCUGCCGGAUCUCUUGGACCACGCGCUUCGUCGCCUCGGGGGAGAAAGAGGCCGACAGCUUCUUCACGAGGAACGACGCGGUCAUGCGCGCCGCCUUCAGCGCGGCCUUGUUCGCGCCUACCGCCGGCGCCGGCUCGGCUUUCCCGGACUCGCUGCUCUCCAUGGGGAUGCCGUUCUCCCGGCACCACCGCGAUAUCAAGUUCUUGAGCGCCUUGUUGGGCACGAGUUCCAGAUUCAGCAGCACUUGCCCGGUCUUGGGGCACGUGGAUUUGCCAGAGCCGAACCAGCGCGUGAUGGAGUCACGGUCGUACGUCUGACCGCUAGAAGCCACGACGGGGUCGCCCAUCAGCUCGAGGGAGAUGGGGCACCGGAAGUCCGGCGGCGGCGACGGUGGCUCCGCGUCGUCGAGAUCCACCUUGGAGUCCACGGGCCGCGGCGUGGCGGCACUGAAGAGGACGCACUUGGCGUAGCGGAGGAGGCCGACGAGGGCGAUCAUCGACGACGUCCACCUCUCGGCGACGCGGUCGCCGAUCUCCCGCUCCAGGGUCUCGAUCUCGUCGCUGCAGCUGGCGGGGUCGUUGAUGCCCACGUCCUCCAGGAUACCCUCAAGCCUCUCCCGCUCCGGCACGAUCUCCCGCUCCACCUCCUGGAUCAGCGCGAGCACGCCCGCCUUCAGCUCCAGCUCCGGGGCCGCCGCGCGGCGGCACUGCCGCGACGCGAGCGCCAGGAGGUCCGACACGUCGUCGGCGAGCCCGAGCUCCGCGGCGGGGAGCAGGUCGAUCAGCGUGGCGAGGUCCUCCCGGAGGCACAGGGACGCGGAGCGCGGCAGCAGCAGCAGCAGCAGCGGGCCCGCGGCCGCGCCGCACAGCAGCAGGUCGUCGAACACGGCGGCCAGCAGGCGCGCCCGCCUGGCCACCGCUGCGAAGACCGGCCGCAGGAACGGCGCCGGCGCCUCGGCCGCCGACAGGUCCCGCGCCAGGCGGUGCAGGGAGCGCAGGACCUCCCCGUCGGGCGCCGACGAGGAGUAGGGGGAUGACGGCCACGCGUCGCUCAUCAUUGGUGCUGCUGUAUGUGCCUUGAGUAUGUAACGAUGGAAUCCGAUUCUGAUUACAAUCUCAAUCCGAUUCUGAUUACAAUCUCAAUCCGAAGAGAAGGCGGUGAAGAAACACGGAUGGAUGGACAAGUGAGACGAGUUGGAGAUGGGAUGGGACGAUGAGAUGGGAGAAGACACGGAGCGGAAGGCGGGGAGGGGUAGCAUAUAUACGGGGUGGCCGGCGUGGGUGGCUUGGCGCGUUGAGUUGUGCGCGAGCUGGGGUUGAAGAGGCUGGAAAUCGGACGGAA
rnacentral:misc_RNA from 1 species